UGAUGACACAUGGAGUGAGAAAAUCGAGUGGUGUUGGUGAUGCCCCAGUUCCUUCGACCCACUUCGUUGGAUUCCCAUUUCACCCGAUUCAUUUCACCUGCUAUAGGGUUUUCUCAUUUCAUACUCCAAACGACCAGCGAUCCCCAUCUUCCUACGACCUAGACCAGAGACGGCGAUAGGGUUCGUGUGACCGCGACAGAGCAGCAAAGAUUUCUUAACCAAGUAUAUCAGCGACAACAGAACCUCCUACGAGAGACCAGAGACUCUUUGUAUGGGAAACAUCGACCAGCGACGACGGUCGAGCAACCUCGACGGACCAGCGACCAAAACUUCUUGCAGCUUGUUGUAAGUAGGAAAAAAAAAAAAAACA